rnacentral:rRNA from 1 species
UACGUAGGGUGCAAGCGUUGUCCGGAAUUAUUGGGCGUAAAGAGCUCGUAGGCGGUUCGUCGCGUCGGCUGUGAAAACCCGAGGCUCAACCUCGGGCCUGCAGUCGAUACGGGCGGACUGGAGUUCGGCAGGGGAGACUGGAAUUCCUGGUGUAGCGGUGAAAUGAGCAGAUAUCAGGAGGAACACCGGUGGCGAAGGCGGUUCUCUGGGCAUUACCUGACGCUGAGGAGCGAAAGUGUGGGGAGCGAACAGG